CACAUUAACCACAAUUCUCGUCUACCACCACCACCACAACCACCACCAUCAGUACCACAACUACAACAAACAAAGAAAACGGAGAAAAAGAGAGAAAAAAAUAAAAACGAGAGAUAGAGAGAUACAGAGAGAGAAAGAAAGAGAAAGAGAGAGAGAGAGAGAGAGAGAAAAUGAGUUAGAGAUAAUGGUGGUAGCGAAGACUCGGGAGCAAUAGAACAAAUAAAAGAAAUAAGGAGAGAUAGAGAGAGAUAAAGACACACACAGAGAGAGAUAAAGAGAGAGAAAGAGAAAGAGAGAGAGAGAGAGGAAGAAAAUAGAGAAGGAAAGAAAAGAAAAAUUUAUUGUGGUCAAGAAUGAAAGAUGGCCACCACUACUACUACUACUACUACUACUACUACCACUACUACUACUACCGCUGCUACCACUACUACUAGCAUUACCAGCAUCCUGUCCAGACACUUCCUUCGUCUUGCUAUCCUGUUAUGGCUGGCCAAUGGAGGCGUAGCGUUGAAGUGGGUGCGGUUCAGCGUGCCGGCGUGGACUAAGCGAGGUCAGGAUGCCGUGUUGACCUGCCAGUUUGACCUCGAGGGGGAGAGGUUGUAUUCUGUGAAGUGGUACAAGGCUGGCAGAGAAUUUUACAGAUAUGUUCCUGGAGACUGGCCCCCCCAGCAGCAAUUUCCCCAGCACGGCAUCUCUGUUGAUGAAGCGCAGAGUGACCACCAGACGGUACUGCUGCGGGAAGUCACUCUGGAGGCGGACGGGCGAUACAAGUGUGAGGUGCUGACGGAGGCGCCUCACUUCAGAACCCUGGUGAAGAGCGCGGCUAUGAGGGUUGUGGAGUUACCACGAGGGGCGCCGCGGGUGGAGGGGGCCAGGAGGAGUACCGGCUGGGGGAGGAGGUCAACCUUACCUGUACAGUACCAAGUUCUGUACCUUCAGCCACGCUCACCUGGUUCAUCAAUAGCCAAGAGGUACCACAAGACUACCUUAGCCAGUACCUACCUGAUGUGGAUACCAAGGGCCGCGGGGAGCCUCGACUGGGCCUCACCUUCAGACUGGAGAGAUGGCACGUAGAAGGAGGCCGCGUGGAACUGAGGUGUGAAGGGAGAAUAUCUCGCGUGUACAGGGAGGAGGCGGUGCAGACAAGUAGUGUGGUGCAGCCCUUGGUACCUGCCCUACUUGAAGACCAGCCAGUGGGAGUGUCAAGAGGCAGAACAGAAAACGGAACUCGCACGCCGCAGCUCCUUCUAGUGACGCUGUUGAUGAUGAUGAUACUUUGAUCCCCCCACUGCCCCCUCACUACCCCUCCCCUAUCAUACCACUCUCCUCCCCCUUGUAAGAUCUGAUGGUGACUCGCGGAGAGAGAGAGAGAGAGAGAGAGAGAGAGAGAGAGAGAGAGAGAGAGAGAGAGAGAGAGAGAGAGAGGUAUUUGUUUUUUCUCUAAUUUUCUUAUUUUUUCUUUCUAAAUCUUGUUGUUGUUGUAGUUGUUAUUAAUGUUGUUGUUGUUGUUCUUCUUCUUCUUCUUGAUCUUGUUCUUGUUUUUCUUCUUCCUUUUCUUCCUAAUAUCUAUCAUCUGUACGACUCUCUCUCUCUCUCUCUCUCUCUCUCUCUCUCUCUCUCUCUCUCUCUCUCUCUCUCUCUCUCUCUUCAUAUCUUGUUUACACGCGCAGAACCAGGGUUGCCACUUCACACGUUGACUCAAAACUGGCAACGCUGACUCUCUGUGUGUGUGUGUGUGUGUGUGUGUGUGUGUGUGUGUGUUAUGAUGAAGUACAGUAGCAUAUGUAUGUACUCACGAGAACACACACACACACAC